GUUUUUAUAGUUUAAAAAAAAUAUUGGUCUUGUAAACCAAAGUUAAAUUUUAUUUUAAAAACU
rnacentral:tRNA from 1 species